UGUGUACUCCCUCCGUUUCAAAAUACUUGACUUCCAUUUGUCCAAAAAUGGAUGUACCUAUAUACUAAAACAUGUCUAGAUACAUAUAUAUUUUGACAAAUAGAAGGCAUGUAUUGUGCAACGGAGGGAGUAGAAU
rnacentral:pre_miRNA from 1 species